GUGCAGCAGGCGCGAAAACUUUACAAUGCCGGCAACGGCGAUGAGGGAACCUCGAGUGCCAGGUUACAAAUCUGGCUGUCGUGAUGCCUAAAAAGCAUUGCAUAGCAAGGGCCGGGCAAGACCGGUGCCAGCCGCCGCGGUAACACCGGCGGCUCGAGUGGUAACCGUUAUUAUUGGGUCUAAAGGGUCUGUAGCCGGCCGGGUAAGUCUCUUGGGAAAUCUGGCAGCUUAACUGUCAGGCUUUCAGGAGAUACUGCCUGGCUCGAGGCCGGGAGAGGUGAGAGGUACUUCAGGGGUAGGGGUGAAAUCUUGUAAUCCUUGAAGGACCACCAGUGGCGAAGGCGUCUCACCAGAACGGACCUGACGGCAAGGGACGAAAGCUAGGGGCACGAACCGGAUUAGAUACCCGGGUAGUCCUAGCCGUAAACGAUACUCGCUAGGUGUCGGCCACGGUGCGACCGUGGUCGGUGCCGUAGGGAAGCCGUGAAGCGAGCCACCUGGGAAGUACGGCCGCAAGGCUGAAACUUAAAGGAAUUGGCGGGGGAGCAC
rnacentral:rRNA from 1 species